rnacentral:rRNA from 1 species
AUUGAACGCUGGCGGCAGGCCUAACACAUGCAAGUCGAACGAGUGGCGGACGGGUGAGUAAUGUCUGGGAAACUGCCCGAUGGAGGGGGAUAACUACUGGAAACGGUAGCUAAUACCGCAUACCAUCGGAUGUGCCCAGAUGGGAUUAGCUAGUUGGGGGGUUAACGGCUCACCUAGGCGACGAUCCCUAGCUGGUCUGAGAGGAUGACCAGCCACACUGGAACGGGGACACGGUCCAGAUUCCUACGGAAGGCAGCAGGGGGGAAUAUUGCGAAAUGGGCGCAAGCCUGAUGGAGCCAUGCCGCGUGUAUGAAGAAGGCCUUCGGGUUGUAAAGUACUUUCAUCGGGGAGGCGUUACUCGCAGAAGAAGCACCGGCUAACUCCGUGCCAGCAGCCGCGGUAAUAC